CACGUAGGGUGCGAGCGUUGUCCGGAAUUAUUGGGCGUAAAGAGCUCGUAGGCGGUGUGUCGCGUCGGCCGUGAAAACCUGCAGCUUAACUGUGGGCUUGCGGUCGAUACGGGCAUCACUGGAGUUCGGCAGGGGAGACUGGAAUUCCUGGUGUAGCGGUGAAAUGCGUAGAUAUCUGGAGGAACACCGGUGGCGAAGGCGGCAUUCUGGACCGACAUUGACGCUGAGGAGCGAAAGCCAGGGGAGCAAACGGG
rnacentral:rRNA from 1 species